rnacentral:rRNA from 1 species
CCUACGGGUGACAGCAGUGGGGAAUAUUGGGCAAUGGGCGCAAGCCUGACCCAGCAACGCCGCGUGAAGGAAGAAGGCUUUCGGGUUGUAAACUUCUUUUAAGAGGGAAGAGCAGAAGACGGUACCUCUUGAAUAAGCCACGGCUAACUACGUGCCAGCAGCCGCGGUAAUACGUAGGUGGCAAGCGUUGUCCGGAUUUACUGGGUGUAAAGGGCGUGCAGCCGGGAAGACAAGUCAGAUGUGAAAUCCCGCGGCUCAACCGCGGAACUGCAUUUGAAACUGUUUUUCUUGAGUACCGGAGAGGUCAUCGGAAUGCCUUGGGUAGCGGUGAAAUGCGUAGAUAUAAGGAAGAACAUCAGUGGCGAAGGCGGCCGCCUGGCACAAAACUGACGCUGAGGUGCGAAAGCGUGGGUAGCAAACAGGAUUAGAUACCCGGGUAGUC